UGCUGCAGACAGGGUAACUGAUAGCAAAUAUGGUAAACUGCAGACUACAGCGUGUUUGGGGGGCCUCAAAACUUUGAAAAGUGGAUGGACGUGCACUCAGCUCCGUCUUGUCCUUCAGAGGCGAGGGCACCUGUUGAGCAGCU